rnacentral:lncRNA from 1 species
UUACUGGCACGGAGAUCCACACUCCAAGGAGCAUUCAUGUCAAUGUCUGCUGCAGCUCUUCACAGCAGUCCUUCAUACUGAGAUGAGACUCUCCUGGUUUCUGCA